GCACAAGCGGAGGAACAUGUGGUUUAAUUCGAUGAUACGCGAGGAACCUUACCUGGGCUUAAAUGUAGAGUGCAUUUUUUAGAGAUAGAAAUUCCCUUCGGGGCUUUCUGCAAGGUGCUGCAUGGUUGUCGUCAGCUCGUGCCGUGAGGUGUUGGGUUAAGUCCCGCAACGAGCGCAACCCCUGUGGUUAGUUGCCAGCAAGUAGCGUUGGGCACUCUAGCCAGACUGCCGGUGAUAAAUCGGAGGAAGGUGGGGACGACGUCAAAUCAUCAUGCCCUUUAUGUCCUGGGCUACACACGUACUACAAUGGCCGUUACAACGGGAAGCGAAGGAGCAAUCCGGAGCAAAUCCCUUAAAGGCGGUCCCAGUUCAGAUUGUGGGCUGAAACUCGCCCACAUGAAGGCGGAAUUGCUAGUAAUUGCAGAUCAGCAUGCUGCAGUGAAUACGUUCCCGGGCCUU
rnacentral:rRNA from 1 species